rnacentral:rRNA from 1 species
UACGUAGGCAGCGAGCGUUGUUCGGAGUUACUGGGCGUAAAGGGUGUGUAGGCGGUUUUCUAAGUUUGGUGUGAAAUCUCCCGGCUCAACCGGGAGGGUGCGCCGAAAACUGGGAGACUAGAGUGCGGGAUGGGAGAGUAGAAUUCCUGGUGUAGCGGUGAAAUGCGUAGAUAUCAGGAGGAAUACCGGUGGUGUAGCCGGCUCUCUGGACCGCCACUGACGCUGAGACACGAAAGCGUGGGUAGCAAACAGG